UACGGGGGGGGCGAGCGUUGUUCGGAAUCACUGGGCGUAAAGGGCGCGUAGGCGGCCACCGCAAGUCAGUUGUGAAAUCUCUGGGCUUAACCCAGAAAGGUCAACUGAUACUGCGGGGCUAGAGUGCAGAAGGGGCAACUGGAAUUCUCGGUGUAGCGGUGAAAUGCGUAGAUAUCGAGAGGAACACCUGCGGCGAAGGCGGCCCCCUGGCCCGCAACUGACGCUCAUGGUCGAAAGCGUGGGGAGCAAAAAGG
rnacentral:rRNA from 1 species